CACGAACCUUAUCCUUUUUCAAUUGCUUGUUCCCCAAAAUGACAAGCCUUUCCUCUUCUUGGUUUUGGCUAAUAGCAUAGCUUGAUUCAUCAUCAUCAUCAUCAUCAUCACACCCGUGAACCACUUUUGUCAAACUAGCAGCGUCCACUAGUGAUUUUCUUUUGUACCCACCAUCAAGCAAUUUCUGCCUUUUGUUUCGGCCAUCAGAACCAGUUACUUCCUCUGUUAUUUCCUCUACUUGUGCUAGCGUCCCACAACUACUGAUCAGAAUGGGAGAGUGACCAGUGCUUGUUACUUCAUCAUCAUCAUCAUCAUCAUCAUCA
rnacentral:misc_RNA from 1 species